CAUCGUGGAUGACACAGAARUGUAUACAACUUUCAGCAACGGAUCUCUUGGCUCUCGCAUCGAUGAAGAACGCAGCGAAUUGCGAUAAGUAAUGUGAAUUGCAGAUUUCCAGUGAAUCAUCGAAUCUUUGAACGCACCUUGCGCUCCUUGGUAUUCCGAGGAGCAUGCCUGUUUGAGUGUCAUCGAAUUCUCAAUCGUGUCGUGUGCGUCAAGCAUGGGACACGACUUGGAGUUGGGUGUUGCUGGCCGCCCCACAGGGCAGUCAGCUCUCCUUAAAUGCAUUAGCGAACAGCUUCGGUCUCGAAGGACGCGAACGGCUUUUGGCGUGAUAAUGAUCGUCGUCGCCCAAAGCGUCUCGUUCAAGAUCCAUGUUUGCUUCGAAACCUAGAGAGAAGGGACUUCUGACCAGUCUGAAGCGUGAAGUGGAGUCAAGCUUAGCUAGCUACUAGCUUGCUUUCGAGCGAGCGAACGCAGUGCGACAAGGCUUCUGUCAGACUCUUCGGUCCAGAAACUCUCACUCUCGCUUGAAAAGGACGAAAACGGAGGAAGGGAGAAUGAAAAGACGUCAGAUGGGACCUUCCACAGGCACUGCUAAUCUGGGGGAUGGGCGAGGCGGAGCUCUAGCUACUAGCUUGCGAGAGCAAGCRAACGCAGAGCAAGGCUUCCUCGACGAUCGGACUGGCAGUGUUGGGAGAUCGCUCGAAGUCAGGAGUUCCCUAGGUCUGAAGUGGACGUCCUUUUCGAUCGAAAGGUGAC
rnacentral:sRNA from 1 species